rnacentral:rRNA from 1 species
UCCAGACUCCUACGGGAGGCAGCAGUGGGGGAUAUUGCACAAUGGGGGAAACCCUGAUGCAGCGACGCCGCGUGUGGGAAGACGGUCUUCUGGAUUGUAAACCACUGUCCCCAGGGACGAAAAUGACGGUACCUGGGAAGGAAGCUCCGGCUAACUACGUGCCAGCAGCCGCGGUAAUACGUAGGGAGCAAGCGUUGUCCGGAGUUACUGGGUGUAAAGGGAGCGUAGGCGGGGAUGCAAGUUGGGUGUCAAAACUAUCGGCUCAACCGAUAGUCGCACUCAAAACUGCAGCUCUUGAGUGAAGUAGAGGCAGGCGGAAUUCCUAGUGUAGCGGUGAAAUGCGUAGAUAUUAGGAGGAACACCAGUGGCGAAGGCGGCCUGCUGGACUGCAACUGACGUUGAGGCUCGAAGGCGUGGGGAGCAAACAGGAUUAGAGACCCGAGUAAU